rnacentral:rRNA from 3 species
UACGGAGGGUGCAAGCGUUAUCCGGAUUCACUGGGUUUAAAGGGUGCGUAGGUGGGUUGGUAAGUCAGUGGUGAAAUCUCCAGGCUUAACUUGGAAACUGCCAUUGAUACUAUCAAUCUUGAAUACCGUGGAGGUCAGCGGAAUAUGUCAUGUAGCGGUGAAAUGCUUAGAUAUGACAUAGAACACCAAUUGCGAAGGCAGCUGGCUACACGAAUAUUGACACUGAUGCACGAAAGCGUGGGGAUCAAACAGG